GUUUUAUGUGCUUUCCAGACUUUUAGUUUUCUUCUUUAUUAGAUGCCUGCUUAAAUCUUUUGCUCAAUUUAAAAACUUGAAUUGUUUUUCUUAUUACUGCUGAACUUUCACAAAUGCUAUAAGCAUAUACAGAUGAGUGUACUACAGAUGUUUUUCAAAGUUUGCCAUUUGUUCGUUUACUUUUUAAUGUCAUUAUUUGAUUAGCAGAUGUGUUUUUAAUUUGAUGAGGUCAGAGGAGGUCAAAGCAAUUGGCUUUAUUGUUUUGUGAAUCCAAUUUUUUAUCUUUUCUUACAAAUGUUUUGUCUCCCUUGAGACUGUAAGCUAUUUUUUUCCCCCUAGAAACAUUAUUAUUCUUAAUUUCACAUUCAGGUCUAUGACCAAGCUUUUCCUAGCUUUGCUGUUGUGCAUGGAGUGAGAUGAGACUCCAGUGUAUUCCCUCCCUCUGACUUCCUACUGGUCUGACGGUACGUUAACGUACUCUCCUUCUCUGUGGAUGGGCGUAUAGGACACCUACCCUCCACUUCCCCUUCUGUCCCGUGGGUCCAUAUCUCCAUCCUGUACAAGAGCAAGCUGUCCUGAAAUCAGAGAGUGCUCUUCCUCCACAUCUGUGCUUCCUUUUCAAGAUUGUUUUAAUACUGUGCAUUCUUUACAUUUCCAUAGAGAUUUGGGGAUUAACUCAUCUGCUUUUAAAGAAAGGCUUCUGAGUUUUUGUUUUCAUUUCAUCUAUAGAUUGAUUUAAAAAACGAUAUCUGUGUAUCUACUUCUGCACUAUUCCUUUAGCCUUGUUUUAAAAUGCCAUGCUUCUAACAAAGCAGACUUACAGGGUCACUACCUC
rnacentral:lncRNA from 1 species